GAAUAAGCACCGGCUAACUCCGUGCCAGCAGCCGCGGUAAUACGGAGGGUGCAAGCAUUACUCGGAAUCACUGGGGCGUAAAGGACGCGUAGGCGGAUUAUCAAGUCUCUUGUGAAAUCCUAUGGCUUAACCAUAGAACUGCUUGGGAAACUGAUAAUCUAGAGUGAGGGAGAGGCAGAUGGAAUUGGUGGUGUAGGGGUAAAAUCCGUAGAGAUCACCAGGAAUACCCAUUGCGAAGGCGAUCUGCUGGAACUCAACUGACGCUAAUGCGUGAAAGCGUGGGGAGCAAACAGGAUUAGAUACCCUGGUAGUCCACGCCCUAAACGAUGUAUACUAGUUGUUGAUAAGCUAGUCUUGGCAGUAAUGCACCUAACGGAUUAAGUAUACCGCCUGGGGAGUACGGUCGCAAGAUUAAAACUCAAAGGAAUAGACGGGGACCCGCACAAGAGGUGGAGCAUGUGGUUUAAUUCGAAGAUACGCGAAGAACCUUACCCGGACUUGAUAUCUAACAAAUCAUCUAGAGAUAGAAGAGUGUCUGCUUGCGGAAAUGUUAAGACAGG
rnacentral:rRNA from 1 species